AAUCAGCGCUUGCUUGGGCACUAAAAUUGGAAUGAUACAAAGAAGAUUACCAUGGCCCCUGCGCAAGGAUGACAUGCAAAUUCGCGAGGCGUUCCUUAGUUUU
ensembl:snRNA U6 U6 spliceosomal RNA